rnacentral:rRNA from 1 species
AUUGAACGCUGGCGGAAUGCUUUACACAUUGCAAGUCGAGCGGCAGCAUGGGUGCUUGCACCUGAUGGCGAGCGGCGAACGGGUGAGUAAUGCAUCGGAACGUACCCAGUCGUGGGGGAUAACUACUCGAAAGAGUGGCUAAUACCGCAUACGUCCUGAGGGAGAAAGUGGGGGACCGCAAGGCCUCACGCGAUUGGAGCGGCCGAUGUCUGAUUAGCUGGUUGGUGGGGUAAAGGCCUACCAAGGCGACGAUCAGUAGCUGGUUUGAGAGGACGACCAGCCACACUGGGACUGAGACACGGCCCAGACUCCUACGGGAGGCAGCAGUGAGGAAUUUUGCGCAAUGGGGGAAACCCUGACGCAGCGACGCCGCGUGGAGGAUGAAGGCCUUCGGGUCGUAAAACUCUGUCAUAGGGGAAGAAGGAGAUGACGGUACCCUAUGAGGAAGCCCCGGCUAACUACGUG